CUGAGUGCAGCCUCUGUGAUUGCUGAAGCUUGCGUGUCUCGCAGUCUGUGGGUCUGAAACCCUCCUUCUGUGGGUUUCAGACUCCUGGAGUCUCUGACUGUGGGGACUGUGAGUCUAGGCUACUCUGGUCCUGUGGCUCAGGGAAUCUAAGGCUCAAGGAUGCUGAAUGCUGAAGUCUGCACCUGAGUGAGUCAGGUCCUGAGACUUUGGGUCAGCCCCAUGAGAAUACCCCGGGUGCUGACGACACCUUCUGAAUCCAGGCACCCAGGGAUACUGACUGAGUCUGAAUCUGGCCCCUCCACUCAGCAGUUGUAUGAACUUCAAGGCUCUGAGCCUCAGUCUCCUCAUCUGUGUAGUGGGGUUGAUGAUGGCAGGCCCUUGGCACCUUCCUCUGCCAGCAGAUCUGCUGGACAGCAGCCACCCCAGAGCGUGGAUCCCUCUGCAUGGCUGGGGCUCACCGAAGCACAGAGUACAGAGCCCCACCUGGGCUGAGCAGACGAGCCUCUAGGGCAGCAGCACGUGGUGUGAGUCUGGGCUGCUCCAGGCCUCUGCUUCUUGGCCUGCAAAUAAGAGGUUAGGACUAGGGGACCCUGGAAAGUCACUGCCAAGUGUAAGAAUUUGAUGAGCAUGACAGCAUUUAUAUAGGACAUGGGCAACAUUUACAGAGAAGCCUGUGGGGGUAAUGAGCUGCAAUGUGCUUGAGUGUUGGCUUGCCUUGGGCGACCUGGCUACCAGCUAGGAAGGAGCCUUGUUGCCUCCUGUGAAGAAGGCCUGCCUCCCGGGGUGUGAACCUGUGAUGACGUGAGUAAAUGAGCAUAAUGCCCCACUAGGGCUCAGAGCCCAGCCAACAUUGCUUUUGCUUAAGUGGUAAAGAGGGCUGCCUGGGGAGUGGCUCCAGUGGCUCCACUGUCCUGCUCUGGGAGCUCCUGGGAGAUCUGGAGACUCCAAGCCCAGGCCCAUAAGACUUGCCAGGCCUGAAACCAGCUGUGGGUUUGGAGAGAGAUGCGGGGUGGGGGGCGGUGGAGGUGGUGCCACACUGCAGCCUCCUGAGGACCUCACCUCAUCAUGGCACUCUCCAGUCCUGUACAGGGGUGACCCCAGGGGCCUGUGCAAGUGGGUCAGGUGGAGAGGAAAUGGUCUGUUUUGUUGCUCCAGGCCAAUUGUAACUGGCAAGUUAACAGCUCACAGCCUGGUUCCGGCACAGCUUCGCCAGUCUUGCGUGGAGCAGUGAACACAGCAGUGCCCGCAGUGCUGCCCACUAAGGUCCUGCAGGGCUUGGGGAGUGGGUGGCCACACCAGGCCACUGACAGAGGACAGAGCCUGGAAUCAUCUGGCCAAGGAGAGACUCCUUGCCUGGGGGUCAAUGUGGGGCUGGACAGGCCAUUGUGCUGAGGGACAGAAGCCAGGGGUUGAGGGGAAGAAGUGAGCUCUAGGUGAGAACAGUCAGGGGCAGGAUGAAGGGGGGUAUCUGCCCACCUGGCCCUUAGCAGAGUAGCUUGUCCUCCCAGGCCACUCAGCCUGGAACAUGGGCAAGACACAUCAUGGCCCUGAAUAAAUUCUUCCUUUCCAUGCUUUAGCAAGUAUAAUAAGUAUACUUAUUAAGUAUACCUCAAGUGCUUUGAGAAGUAUCAUUGAAUACGUUUUUCUUCAACACUCCAGUCCUCCCUUUUCUUCUCUCCCUUCCUCUCUCUCUGCUUUCUUUUUUUCUCUCUUCCUUCCAUGGGGCAGGAAGGUAGCAAGACAGAACCCCAGGCACAUGUGUCCACAGGCACACGUAUAAGGCUCCACACCUGUGUGCUCACCAGCCGCAUGAUGGGCCGUGUCCGCCCAGCACCAGCCCCACAGAGCUCAGAGCAGCCCAGGCCUCUUCUCUGUUUUGUUGCUCCCAGAAAAUUGGAAAAUAAAUAAAUGUUAAAAUAGAAUCACAAAUACUGGGAUAUUACCUAAAUAUUUACAUUGUACAAAUGAAC
rnacentral:lncRNA from 10 species